UGGGAAUUUGGACAAUGGGCGCAAGCCUGAUCCAGCAAUGCCGCGUGCAGGAAGAAGGCCUUCGGGUUGUAAACUGCUUUUGUCAGGGAAGAAAUCUUCUGGGUUAAUACCUCGGGAGGAUGACGGUACCUGAAGAAUAAGCACCGGCUAACUACGUGCCAGCAGCCGCGGUAAUACGUAGGGUGCGAGCGUUAAUCGGAAUUACUGGGCGUAAAGCGCGCGCAGGCGGCUUUGCAAGACAGAUGUGAAAUCCCCGGGCUCAACCUGGGAACUGCAUUUGUGACUGCAAGGCUAGAGUACGGCAGAGGGGGAUGGAAUUCCGCGUGUAGCAGUGAAAUGCGUAGAUAUGCGGAGGAACACCGAUGGCGAAGGCAAUCCCCUGGGCCUGUACUGACGCUCAUGCACGAAAGCGUGGGGAGCAAACAGGAUUAGAUACCCUGGUAGUCCACGCCCUAAACGAUGUCAACUGGUUGUUGGGUGCAAUUUGGCACGCAGUAUCGAAGCUAACGCGUUAAGUUCGCCGCCUGGGGAGUACGGUCGCAAGACUGAAACUCAAAGGAAUUGACGGGGGCCCGCACAAGCGGUGGAGUAUGUGGUUUAAUUCGAUGC
rnacentral:rRNA from 1 species